CCCUAUAUCCUCCUAUGCAGACCGGUCCAUGCAUGGCCUGUGGUAGUCCAAUGAGUCUGAGUGUCUAGUUGGACCUAAGACCCUUUGUUGGGUAUUACAGGGCUCCCCUGUACAGUGCGAAAAUAAGAUGUCCUAGCAAUCAUCUACUUAUCCCCUCUUCAGCCAAGAAUUAGAUUUCUCUGUGAAGUUCCAUGGAGAAAUAUGUUUAGAAAAUUAAAGAUGGACUUCAGGAGUGCUCAUUGCUGUUGGAAUAUCAGGCUUCGAGGGUUCUUCGGCAGGAAGAAAGUCAGGGAGAGAGAAACUAGGAGGCUACCAUUUGCAUUGCCAUGGGACAGUAAAGCCAAAGACCAAGGAUUGUCAGCAGACAGCCUCAGAAUGCCACACUCUCUGGGAGAAAGACUUGCCUGACUGAAACGCCAAAUUUGUACUUCUAGCCUGGAAUAAAUUUCAGUUGUUUAAGCCAUCCUAUUGUAUGGCAUUUCUUUAGCAGCCAGGAAACUAAAAUAACUAUCACCAUAGUUCAAGAUCUGAGACUCUCUUUUAUACAACUUUGAUACCCAGUAUUUGAUACAGGUCUUGAUACUGAGUAGUGUCCAUAUUUUAUGACUUAAUUCAAUAAAAUUAAUAUAACAUUU